UGUGUGUGUGUGUGUGUGUGUGUGUGUGUCUGUGUCUGUGUCUGUGUCUGUCUUCCAGCAGGUGCGUGCUCACACACACACACACACACU